GACGAACGCUGGCGGCGUGCCUAAUACAUGCAAGUUGAGCGCUGAAGGUUGGUACUUGUACCAACUGGAUGAGCAGCGGACGGGUGAGUAACGCGUGGGGAAUCUGCCUUUGAGCGGGGGACAACAUUUGGAAACGAAUGCUAAUACCGCAUAAAAACUUUAAACACAAGUUUUAAGUUUGAAAGAUGCAAUUGCAUCACUCAAAGAUGAUCCCGCGUUGUAUUAGCUAGUUGGUGAGGUAAAGGCUCACCAAGGCGAUGAUACAUAGCCGACCUGAGAGGGUGAUCGGCCACAUUGGGACUGAGACACGGCCCAAACUCCUACGGGAGGCAGCAGUAGGGAAUCUUCGGCAAUGGACGAAAGUCUGACCGAGCAACGCCGCGUGAGUGAAGAAGGUUGUCGGAUCGUAAAACUCUGUUGGUAGAGAAGAACGUUGGUGAGAGUGGAAAGCUCAUCAAGUGACGGUAACUACCCAGAAAGGGACGGCUAACUACGUG
rnacentral:rRNA from 1 species